rnacentral:rRNA from 1 species
AACAGGAUUAGAUACCCUGGUAGUCCACGCCGUAAACGGUGGGUGCUAGGUGUGAGCGGUAUUCCACGCCGUUCGCGCCGCAGCUAACGCAUUAAGCACCCCGCCUGGGGAGUACGGCCGCAAGGCUAAAACUCAAAGGAAUUGACGGGGGCCCGCACAAGCAGCGGAGCAUGUGGCUUAAUUCGACGCAACGCGAAGAACCUUACCAAGGCUUGACAUACACUGAAAACUCAUAGAGAUAUGGGGUCCGCAAGGGCGGUGUACAGGUGGUGCAUGGUUGUCGUCAGCUCGUGUCGUGAGAUGUUGGGUUAAGUCCCGCAACGAGCGCAACCCUCGUUCUACGUUGCCAGCGCGUGAUGGCGGGGACUCAUAGGAGACUGCCGGGGUCAACUCGGAGGAAGGUGGGGACGACGUCAAAUCAUCAUGCCCCUCAUGUCUUGGGCUGCACACAUGCUACAAUGGCCGGUACAAAGGGCUGCUAAACCGCGAGGUGGAGCGAAUCCCAAAAAGCCGGUCUCAGUUCGGAUUGGGGUCUGCAACUCGACCCCAUGAAGUCGGAGUCGCUAGUAAUCCCGGAUCAGCAACGCCGGGGUGAAUACGUUCCCGGGCCUUGUACACACCGCCCGUCACACCACGAAAGUCGGUAACACCCGAAGCCGGUGGCCCAACCCUUUUAGGGAGGGAGCCGUCGAAGGUGGGAUCGGUGAUUGGGGUGAAGUCGUAACAAGGUAACC